AUAGUACUAUUUAAAAACCCGAAGCAACCGCAACAAUGUUUUCGCGGUAUCUUAUUUUUUCCGUUUUGCAUAAAUUUGCGUCAAAUAUAAAAGAAUGAGCAUUAUUCAAAUGCGUAGUCCAUUGUAAUUCCUCUCAGCUUGGAGACCAACAUAAAUACACGGUUUCAAAUAUCACGUUUUAAAAUAUCGUGCAUUUUUAUUUAUUCCUUUUCCUUUUAUCAUAACGAGAACAAAAGUAUUUCAACGUUCACAUUCUAUUUUACCUGUGGAUGAGAAAUUCUCUCGUCACGCCAAGCGUACGUGUUCGUUCGUACGCAGUAGUGGCAGUUUGCGGGUUAGAAGCGUAUACUACAUAAUCGACGAGUCAUAUAAUAGGUAUGUCCAACUAAAACCGUCGCACAUAACGCUUAAUAUCAAUUAACACAUCGCUAAGGAACAUUUGAAUGACAACAAAUGCUUGAGAAAAAGAGUCGAGCGAAAAGAGAGAUCAAAAUUGAGGCUUGCUUCGGAUCCUAUUGAUCGCGGCUUGCAGCGGCUUGGAAGAGCAAGGCGUACGUAGAUUUCGCAUAGAUGGCAGAUCAAGAAGAAAAAAUGAAAGUCUGUGUUAUCGGUGCUGGCGCGGCCGGUUUGUGUGCAGCCCGACACUUGGCGGCAAAUUUGAGAUACGAAAUUACGGUCUACGAGCAGACGAACGAAAUAGGAGGCACGUGGGUCUACAAUGAACAGAGUGGCCUCGACGAGAAUGGAUUGCCGAUUCAUUCCAGCAUGUACCAGAAUCUAAGAACGAAUUUGCCCGCUAAAAUUAUGAAUUUUCCGGAUUAUACGGCAAUGGAAGGGGAAGAACCCAGCUGUGUGAGUCAUCAGGAGGUUUUAAACUAUCUGAAAGAUUAUGCCCAGCACUUUGAUAUACGUCGUUACAUUCAGCUCGAAACAGAAGUUGAACACGUUCGAUUUGAACUGUCCGAGUCUUGCAAUCGAGAAAAGUGGUCAGUGCAAGUAAAAAAAUUAAAAACAAACGAGAUAGAACUUCAAUAUUUUGAUGCGAUUAUGGUUUGCAACGGACACUAUUUCGAUCCUUACGUGCCAAUUAUAUCCGGCAUCGACAGCUUUCCGGGUGCAAUAUUGCACAGCCACGCGUACAGAAAACCAGACGAGUUUUCCGGGAAAACUGUAUUAGUGUUGGGUGCAGCUUCGUCUGGAAUCGAUAUUGGGAUCGAUUUAUCCGAUCACGCAGCUCGCGUGUACUUAAGUCACAAUCAUGACAGAUUAACAAGUUCUCUGCCAUCGAACAUGAUGCAAGUCGCGGGUGUCGAAAGCGUGCAUGAAAGUACAAUUCGCCUGAGAGACGGGACUAGCGUCGACGAUGUCGACGUUUUCCUUUUCUGCACCGGAUACAAAUACAGUUUUCCCUUCUUAGACGAGAAUUGCGGUAUACGGGUCGACAAUAAUUACGUGAUUCCGCUUUACAAGCAUCUCAUCAACAUCGAGCAUCCCUCGAUGUGCAUCGUCGGGAUACCCACGGUCGUCGUGCCAUUUCCCAUGUUUCAUAUGCAGGUGCAAUAUUUUCUGGCCCUGCUGGAAAAUCGAACGACUUUGCCAGCAAAGUCCGUAUUGUUGGAAGAUUCGACUUUAAAAACUCCGAAGAAGAGACACGCGCACAAGUUAAUGGAUCGUCAGUGGGACUACAAUGAUUCGUUGGCGAUUGCUGGUGGAUUCGAUCGGUUACCGUUGUUUUACAAACUCGGUUACGGAGCGUGGUCGGUGCAAAGGCCUACGAAUCUUUUGCGCUACAAGGAUUCCAGAUUCGUCAUCUCUGAAGACGGACAAAGCGUCGAAUUGAUCAUACCGAGCUAAAGUCUCAUAAAAUUUCGCAACAAUGAGAAUAAAUACAUCGAGUGUUUGAUGAUACGAUAUUUAGAGUUUUAUCCUUAAUCCAGUGAUUAAGACGUAAUACAUCGGUGUACACACCGGGAGAAUUCUCCUUCGCGCAACCGUCUCCCC
rnacentral:misc_RNA from 1 species